rnacentral:rRNA from 1 species
GAGUUUGAUCCUGGCUCAGAGCGAACGCUGGCGGCAGGCCUAACACAUGCAAGUCGAACGGAUCCUUCGGGAUUAGUGGCGGACGGGUGAGUAACACGUGGGAACGUGCCCUUUGGUUCGGGACAACUCAGGGAAACUUGAGCUAAUACCGGAUGUGCCCUUCGGGGGAAAGAUUUAUCGCCAUUGGAGCGGCCCGCGUCUGAUUAGCUUGUUGGUGAGGUAAAGGCUCACCAAGGCUACGAUCAGUAGCUGGUCUGAGAGGAUGAUCAGCCACAUUGGGACUGAGACACGGCCCAAACUCCUACGGGAGGCAGCAGUGGGGAAUCUUGCGUAAUGGGCGAAAGCCUGACGCAGCCAUGCCGCGUGAAUGAUGAAGGUCUUAGGAUUGUAAAAUUCUUUCAGCAGGGACGAUAAUGACGGUACCUGCAGAAGAAGCCCCGGCUAACUUCGUGACAGCAGCCGCCGUAAC